rnacentral:rRNA from 1 species
UACGGAGGGUGCGAGCGUUGUCCGGAAUCAUUGGGCGUAAAGGGCGCGUAGGUGGCGGGACAAGCGUGCGGUGAAAGCUCGGGGCUCAACCCCGAGUCGGCCGUGCGAACUGUUUUGCUGGAGCACUGUAGAGGCAGGCGGAAUUCCGGGUGUAGCGGUGGAAUGCGUAGAGAUCCGGAAGAACACCGGUGGCGAAGGCGGGACUCUGGGCCGAUACUGACGCUGAGGAGCGAAAGCGUGGGGAGCAAACAGG